GCAGUGUCCCGGCUCUGUCGCUGGCAUCUUAAUGGUGCGAGAGGAAAGUCCGGGCGGCAUAGGGCACUCCACUUCCGAAAGUAGAAGCUAUUGGUGACAGUAGGUGUCGGCAGAAGAAAAUAACCGCCUUAAAUACUAAUGAGGUUUAUCUUGUUGUGUUAGGGUAAGGGUGAGAAGGUGGUGUAAGAGACCACCAGCUGAUGGGUGAUCAUCAGGCUGUGUCAUCUGGAGGACGCAAGUUCAUGUAUACCGCAGAUUGAGAGCGGCCCGUUCGAUUGUCUUUGGACUCCUGCGGAGGGUAGAAUGCUUGAGCUCAGGGGUAACUCUGAGACUAGAUAAAUGACAGGCACCUUUUUUGAGGUACAGAACCCGGCUUAUAGGGGCACUGUUUUC
rnacentral:RNase_P_RNA from 1 species